rfam:Camelus ferus unplaced genomic scaffold scaffold602, whole genome shotgun sequence.
GAGGGUAUAGCUCAAGAGGUAGAGCCCAUGCUUAACAUGCACGAGGUGCUGGGUUCAAUCCCCAGUGCCUCCU